rnacentral:rRNA from 1 species
ACGGUAACAGGAAUCAGCUUGCUGAUUCGCUGACGAGUGGCGGACGGGUGAGUAAUGUCUGGGAAACUGCCCGAUGGAGGGGGAUAACUACUGGAAACGGUAGCUAAUACCGCAUAACGUCGCAAGACCAAAGAGGGGGACCUUCGGGCCUCUUGCCAUCGGAUGUGCCCAGAUGGGAUUAGCUAGUAGGUGGGGUAACGGCUCACCUAGGCGACGAUCCCUAGCUGGUCUGAGAGGAUGACCAGCCACACUGGAACUGAGACACGGUCCAGACUCCUACGGGAGGCAGCAGUGGGGAAUAUUGCACAAUGGGCGCAAGCCUGAUGCAGCCAUGCCGCGUGUAUGAAGAAGGCCUUCGGGUUGUAAAGUACUUUCAGCGGGGAGGAAGGGAGUAAAGUUAAUACCUUUGCUCAUUGACGUUACCCGCAGAAGAAGCACCGGCUAACUCCGUGCCAGCAGCCGCGGUAAUACGGAGGGUGCAAGCGUUAAUCGGAAUUACUGGGCGUAAAGCGCACGCAGGCGGUCUGUUAAGUCAGAUGUGAAAUCCCCGGGCUCAACCUGGGAACUGCAUCUGAUACUGGCAGGCUUGAGUCUCGUAGAGGGGGGUAGAAUUCCAGGUGUAGCGGUGAAAUGCGUAGAGAUCUGGAGGAAUACCGGUGGCGAAGGCGGCCCCCUGGACGAAGACUGACGCUCAGGUGCGAAAGCGUGGGGAGCAAACAGGAUUAGAUACCCUGGUAGUCCACGCCGUAAACGAUGUCGACUUGGAGGUUGUGCCCUUGAGGCGUGGCUUCCGGAGCUAACGCGUUAAGUCGACCGCCUGGGGAGUACGGCCGCAAGGUUAAAACUCAAAUGAAUUGACGGGGGCCCGCACAAGCGGUGGAGCAUGUGGUUUAAUUCGAUGCAACGCGAAGAACCUUACCUGGUCUUGACAUCCACGGAAGUUUUCAGAGAUGAGAAUGUGCCUUCGGGAACCGUGAGACAGGUGCUGCAUGGCUGUCGUCAGCUCGUGUUGUGAAAUGUUGGGUUAAGUCCCGCAACGAGCGCAACCCUUAUCCUUUGUUGCCAGCGGUCCGGCCGGGAACUCAAAGGAGACUGCCAGUGAUAAACUGGAGGAAGGGUGGGGGAUGACGUCAAGUCAUCAUGGCCCUUACGACCAGGGCUACACACGUGCUACAAUGGCGCAUACAAAGAGAAGCGACCUCGCGAGAGCAAGCGGACCUCAUAAAGUGCGUCGUAGUCCGGAUUGGAGUCUGCAACUCGACUCCAUGAAGUCGGAAUCGCUAGUAAUCGUGGAUCAGAAUGCCACGGUGAAUACGUUCCCGGGCCUUGUACACACCGCCCGUCACACCAUGGGAGUGGGUUGCAAAAGAAGUAGGUAGCUUAACCUUCGGGAGGGCGCUUACCACUUUGUGAUUC